CAGUUCUUCACUGGCACUACUAUGAAAAGGAGCAUUAAAGUGAGCCUGAGUGAGAAACCUUUUGUUGGAGCUUAAUUACCAGGUCUGGAUCAGGGCCAUGCUCCACAAGCUUGCAUUUUCCUGGGACCCAUUCUACAAAUUAAGCUGGGAUAGUGAAGUAUUUUGUAAAAAUUUCUCCCCGAUUUGGAAUGUUCAAUUCCCAAUGCGCUCUAGGUCCUCGUGGUGGUGUAGUAACUCGCCUCAAUCCAGGUGGCGGAGGACAAAUCUCAGUUUCCUCCUCAUCUGAGAACAUCAAUUCACGCAUCUUAUCACGUGGCUUGUUGAGCACAUUACCGCGGAGACAUAGGAGACAUACUGUGGAGGGUUCACGCUAUUCUUCGCGGCAUCAACGCACAAUUCACCACGCGCCCCACUGAGAGCGAGAACCACAUUAUAGUGGCCACAAGGAGGUUAACCCAACGUGACUCUACCCACUCUAGCAACCGGGCCGAUUAACUGGAGUCAAUCAGCAUGCCCUGGAUUCGAACUUGUGACUCCAGGGGUGGUAGUCAGUGUCUUUAUUUGCUGAGCUACCCAGGCCCCCGAUAGUGAGGCCGGGUCACACAAGAUGCCAUCACUCGCACUUCCUCUCUGUCUGCAGAGCAGCUUGCCCAGAGGAAGGGACCAAUCAGCAGGUCAUUAUGGCCUGGUCGGAAUGUACAAGUAACUAUGGUAACAGCGCUUUGAUUUCAACCACAAGAGAGCGGGGCCUCCUUGCCGACUGUAUCUAUGGAACACCACUUGAAGUCAAACUUCCAACUUGAAAACUCAAUUUCAUUAAGAUGGGGAUGCAUGAUGUCACAUACACAUGUCAGCAACCAGGGCGUUAUACAACGUUGAUGAUAAACCUUCACUUUUCUCUAAA